ensembl:lncRNA
AGAGAACAUAAUUAAAUGUGUAUUUUGACUUUGAAGCACAUGUGAUAAUUUAAUAGCUUGUUUUUAUCUCUUUUCACUUUCCAAGAGGAACUGAAUCAUCAGAAUUAAUAGUAUCUGUAUCCUAGAACUUUUACAAGGUUCAAGUGAGAUUAUCUAUAAAUACCCACCAAGCAGUCAGCCUGUCACGUAAGUAGUUUUUAAAUUUUAAGAAUCAUCAUUGCUGCUGCUACCUUUGUCCGAAUUUAAUAUUAAAUAUGGUUAAUAUCUUUGGUUUACAGAAGAGAAAACUUAUAGCUUCUAGAAGAUUCCAAAAAGCUCUUUGCAUAUGUUACCUCACUGAAUUCUCAUGAAAAUUCUGUGAUACACAAUUCACAAUGUUUUUAUAGCAUAAGAUUGUUGUGAAGAUCAAGGUUGAUAAUCUACAUAUAAGCACUAAGCUCUCUGCCAGAAAUAGCUCCUAAAACACUUGGAAUUUUCUAUGUGAGGAGAGCCACAGUGGGGUCUUGUUAUGUUAAUGACUUUUGGAAAGCACUUCGGAAUGGCUCAGCUGGUAAAGAAACCACUUGCAAUGCAGGAGACCUGGGUUCGAUCCCUGGAUUGGGAAGAUCCCCUGGAGAAGGGGAAGGCUACCCACUCCAGUAUUCUGGCCUAGAGAAUUCCAUGGACUGUAUAGUCCAUGAGGUUGCAAAGAGUUGGACACAACUGAGUGACUUUCACUUCACUUUCAUGGAGAGCUUGCUAAAUGUACUUCUCAAUUCCAGUCAUUUUUCUCUAUAUUAUUUUGUAUUUCUAUGUGCAGAAUUAUAUAUGAUGUGCAUUAAUGUAGGCCCUUGGUAGUGAAAGUGUGAAGUCCUAACCACUGGACCACCAGGGAGUUCCCUUAAAGGAAGUUUACCUGUAGAAAUUUAGCUGAGUCUUUUUAUUGUGAACAUGUGAUUAAUUUUAUGAAGUAAUUUCACUCCAUCUGUUUUGACAAUCAUAUGAUUUCCCCCUUUUAAUAUGGUAAUAUAGUACAUUGCAUUAAUUAAAAUUUUAAAGUAAAACAGAACCAGCAUUUCUGCAAUAACCCUACAAUCUAAUGCUAUAUUAAUCCUUUUUUCCAUUGCUGGUAUUUUAUAAGGAUUUUUGCAUGCAUAUUUUUGAAUGAGAUUCACAUGUAAUUUUCCUUUCUUAGACGACUCUUGAUAGAGUUUGUUAACAAGCUGAUGUUAGACUCAUGAGUUGCAAAUUGUACCUUCUUAUUCUAUUAUUGGGAAUAAUAGUUUGUGUAAUGCUGGAAUUAUUGCUUUUUUAAAUGUUUGGUAGAAUUGCUAGUGAAGCUCUUUGCACCUGUAGCUUUCAAUGUAGGAAGAUUUUCAUUACUAAUGCAAAUCCUUUUAUCACUGGAACUAUUCAAUUUUAAAUUGCUUCUGAGUUAUUUCUGGUAAAUUAUUUUUUGUAGAAAUUUAUACAUUGUAUCAAAAUUUUAAGUGUAUUGGCAUAAAGUUGUUCAUGAUAUUCUCUUUUUAAUAUCUGAAAGGUCUGUGACAAUCUUCUGUUGUUCAUUCUUAAUAUGUUUUGGCAGACAUUUAUGAAAUUUUUAGAAUAA